rnacentral:rRNA from 1 species
AUUGAACGCUGGCGGCAGGCCUAACACAUGCAAGUCGAGCGGAUGAAGGGAGCUUGCCCCUGGAUUCAGCGGCGGACGGGUGCGUAAUGCCUAGGAAUCUGCCUGGUAGUGGGGGAUAACGUCUGGAAACGGGCGCUAAUACCGCAUACGUCCUGAGGGAGAAAGUGGGGGAUCUUCGGACAUCACGCUAUCAGAUGAGCCUAGGUCGGAUUAGCUAGUUGGUGGGGUAAAGGCCUACCAAGGCGACGAUCCGUAACUGGCCUGAGGGGAUGAUCAGUCACACCAGAACUGAGACACGGUCCGGACUCCUACGGGAGGCAACAGUGGAGAAAGUUAGACUAUGGGCGGGAGGCUGAUCCAGCCAUGCCACGUGUGUUAAGAAGUUCUUCGGAUUGGAAAGCACAUUAAGUUUGGUAGAAGAGCAAUAAUUUAAUACCUUACUGUUUUGACGGUACCAUCAGAAUAAGCACCGGCUAACUUCGUG